AGGUUUAUCCAGGAGGUCUCUGUCAUCUCAGAGCCCACAGGAGAGAGCAGGUCAGGAAAGCACAAAAUAAAGCGCUGCGACUUGGUGUUACAGCCAUGCUUUCUUGGGUCCAAAAAGCUCAGUCUGAUGCCUGGAUGUCCUCGUGUUUCGCGAGUUGGUCCUGUUGCCCCCCGCCCCCGUCUUGCUGCAGGGAGUCAGAUAAUGCACAAGAAAUCCAGGAACAACUCAUUCUUGGCAGCAGUCAGUGUCUUCUCUUAAAUGCAGGCUUGCACCAUAUAAAUCCUGGCUCUGUGUCCUGUCAGUGGCCACUGAGGCAUGAUUUCCAUUUCGGCAAACUGCAAACAGCAUAGAAACAGCGAGAAAGCCCAGCUGGGGAACGAGGUGGGGGAGCCACGCUUUACAUUUCUCCGGUGCCUUCCACCCAAGGCUCUCACGGCCCCUUAAAAAUGAGAGCCAAGCUGCAAGUGUGUUAUGGGACAGGAGCAAGUCGGUGAUGCUCGGGUGUGUGCGGGGCCUGGGGCUGGGCAUGCACCUCACUUCCCAUGGCAUGAGCUCAUUCUAGUGCCUGUCUUGCUGGCACACAACUGUGGCACUUAAAUUAACAGGGAAGGAAGUAGUAAUGCAGCAUUUCUGCUGUGAAUAAAUAGACCAUGACCCGCAUUCAGCAUGCUAGAAGGGCACUGUAGUUUGAGCCAUUUGUUUCUUGGCUGAGGGCUAGGAGCUGAUUCUUGUGCUGUGAGCUGUAACAUCAGGGGUAAUCCGCAGCUACAGGCAGGAGAGAGAAGAAAGCAGGGGCAAGCAAGUGCUAAUUCACAAACAUGCAAGGGAACAAAAACAGAGGCAGUUGGUCUUGUCCUUGUAAAUGCUGAGCAUCUUUUUGGCUUGUUUUGUUUACCAAUUACACAUUUUUUGUCAGCGCCAUGAGAAAAGCGCUGAAAUUCCUGAUGGCAAAACGCAAACUGAAGAGGCCAGCACGUCGUGCCCGGCGCGUGGGUCAGGCCUGUUCCCUGCUGCCUGGGCACAAGGUGAGAUACCCGCGGUUCUCUGGGCUGGUGGCACCGACCACCAGACUUCCCAUCCUCCCUCCUUUGGUGGUCAUGCGUGGAAUUGCAAAUCUUCCUUUCCUUGAAGCUGUGACCCCAGGGGAUGCCUGAGAGCGGCAGCGAGAACAACCGUGGAAGUGCUAGUCAGCUGCUCGCUGCUUUUCCUCUCUUCAAGGCAGCUUGUCUCCUUCCCAGGAGGAUCGCUGCAGCUCCAUUAGAGUCCAUUAGCAGCUUCCUCUCCUUUUGCCUUGAGGUGAAUUUAGGGCAGGUGUUGGCGUGGCAGCCCCGGAGGCCGGAGCUGCUGCUUGCAGCACAGCUCGGGUGUGCGGAGGAGCCGGGCUCUGCCACCGAACAUGCCCUGCAUGUGUCGGGGCCGUGUCUGUGCAGGAAGGAACCGUGGGGGCCUCUUCUUCCUUUUCCUGCAGGCUUGGACGAUAACAGAUGCAAGUACUUGGGGAGAAGCAGCGAUGGGCUUCCCCAUGUCAAAACCAAGAGGUUUUGCCCCAGAUGGUGUGUCUGGCGCUUGCUUGCCCUGCUGCAGUGGGUUCAGGACACAAAAGCUGUGCUGUUGUCUGCCCUAUCAAGUUAUUAGGGAGCUCCCAUGGAGCGUGAGAGCCUUUGGCAUCACUGUGCUGAGGGCAAAGCAUGAAAAGAAAAGUGUUGUGCUCUGUGGGACAGAGGGGACUGUCCUCGUGCUGAGGGCUUCGGCCAGGGCGGGGAGAUGCCUGUCCCUGAGAAGUGUCACGAGCAGGAGCGAUGCUGGUCUGCGAGCACUGGGGCCGUGCAGCCUCCAGAGCGGGCAGGGAAGGGCACGACGGGAUGGAGGCACGGAGAAAGCAUGCGGAGCAUUUGGCCCUGCUCUGCGGAUGUGAGUAGCCUGCCAUAAAUAUCAAAAUGCUUUCAGUGUGACAAGUGUCAGCAGCUGUGAGUCAGCCCGUUGCAAUGCUUCCAGGCAGGCAGACCAUGGUUUCAUUGUCUCUGGGUCCCCUGGAAUGUGAGCCGCACAGGAGCCCACCCGGGCUGCAGACGGAGGCAGAGCAAGCACCUCGUGAGGUCCCAAAACAGCAGCACUGCAUGCCUAGGCUGCAGGGGAUCCAGGUGGGAGAUGUCGCCCUCCAGGUAGCCCCUGAGCCCCUUGUGGGUGACCAGCACAAGGCUCCACGUGGAGGACAGAUCCCCAGAGCACAUCUCAGCUCUCCUGCUAGGGAGAUGUGGGACCAGCUGCCGAGGGAGCACUCGGUGGCUGCUGCAGAUUUCAGUGGGUGAAAUCUGCCGAAAGUAGACAGAAAACACAGGUGCCCCUUAGUGCACAGCUGCAGAGAGGUAGCUGCCUGCCCUCAGCGCGGCCCCUGCAGCCUUCCAGCACUGAAUGCUUCCCGCUGUCUCACCGUCCUUGCCCACUUUAUCCCAGUAAGCCCACAAUAAUCAGCCUAUUCUUCUCUGUCUCUGCUGCUGCGCCCAUCCGGAGGCCCUCCGCACGCUUUGGCUCUACCUUUCCCCUUCCUAUGCCGUCACCUCUUUCAUUGUUGCUCACCUGCCCUAUUAUCAAUAACAGCUGUAAUUAACGUUGCAGGCUGUGCCCAGAAUCCUCUCCCUACCCAAAGCUGCAGUAGGGCUUACAGGUUUUUCCGUUGAGCAAAUAUGGGUGCAAUUCACUUGAAUUGCCAAUUCCUAUCAGUCGCUGGCUUGGGGCACUGCAGCAAAAGCAAACAAAGCUGAUUACAGAGAGGAAAAGCAAGUGUGGAAAGCAAUUGUUCUCGUUGAUAUCACCUUGAUAACAAAGACGCCAGCUCCAAGACAAAAGCUAUUUCACAGUUUUUUUUGCCUUGGGGUUGCUGUGGUGUCAUUCCUGGAAAAGGGAAAAUUGGUGGUAUUAGCUGAAAAGGCAGCUCUGAAAGACAGUCCUCUGGUCAGGCAGAGUGGGAAGAGCUAGGUUUAAUUUCCUUCUCGCCUUCCACCCACUACGAGACCUCAGGCAAAUGUCUCACCCUGGAGAAGAAAACUGUUCUGUGAUUAUUUAGUUGAAAGCUGUCAACAGCUCUAGCUCCGAGGCUGGUGUUUCUCCUCUUGCAGUGCUGGCUGUGCACAGAAAUGUGAGGUUGCCGGAGCACAAAUACACACAGACAAGCGCGAUGCCUUCGUCUCCGCUCCGCGCACCGCCUGCGGCUCUGUGGCUUACGGUGGUUUAUCCGUGGGUCUGAAGGGCUAGCCAGCUGAGGGUUGGAACCUGAUUAUAUUUUAAUGAUGAAUCUCCCCUGCCACACUGGGGCAGGCCAUGAUCAGGACCAU